rnacentral:rRNA from 1 species
UGUGUAGGCGGUUGGAUAAGUGUGGUGUGAAAUCUCCCGGCUUAACUGGGAGGGUGCGCUACAAACUGUCUGGCUAGAGUGCGGGAUGGGAAAGUGGAAUUCCUGGUGUAGCGGUGAAAUGCGUAGAUAUCAGGAGGAACACCGGUGGUGUAGACGGCUUUCUGGACCGUAACUGACGCUGAAACACGAAAGCGUGGGUAGCAAACAGGGAUUAGAUACCCGUGGUAGUCCACGCCCUAAACGAUGCAUAUUUGGUGUGGGUCAUUCAUUUGAUCUGUGACGGAGCUAACGCGUUAAAUAUGCCGCCUGGGGAGUACAGUCGCAAGGCUGAA